UCCUAGUGGGCUGGUAUGCCUCUGGAAGCACGGAGCCCUCCGUGCUUCCAAGUUAUUUUCGAUGUUCGGACUUUCGAAUCGAUGAUCGGCUCCGUUAGAGUUGAUCUAGAGUAUUUGAAAUACCUAGAAAAUAAAUCUUGCGAUUUUUCGAUAUCAUUUGCCUAGUGAUCGAAGGGGCUCAAAAUCAAUAAUUUUAACGGCCGUGGUGAGCCGGUUGCAAGUUUAACGGUGUAGAAAUAUCCAAAUCACAUGAAAUUUUGAUAGAAAAUUCUUUAUACCAUAUAAAACAAGAUCAAUAACUUUGAUCUAAAAUUUUAAUGUCAUAUCAUCAUAUUUUGUAAGAUUUUUAUUUUCAGCUGUUGAUUUUGAGCCACUCCGAUCACUAGGCAAAUGAUAU
rnacentral:lncRNA from 1 species